rnacentral:rRNA from 1 species
GACGAACGCUGGCGGCGUGCUUAACACAUGCCAGUCGAACGCUGAAGCUCAGCUUUUGUUGGGUGGAUGAGUGGCGAACGGGUGAGUAACACGUGAGUAACCUGCCCCCUUCUUUGGGAUAACGCCCGGAAACGGGUGCUAAUACUGGAUAUUCACUGGUCUUCGCAUGGGGGUCGGUGGAAAGGGUUUUUCUGGUGGGGGAUGGGCUCGCGGCCUAUCAGCUUGUUGGUGGGGUGAUGGCCUACCAAGGCUUUGACGGGUAGCCGGCCUGAGAGGGUGACCGGUCACAUUGGGACUGAGAUACGGCCCAGACUCCUACGGGAGGCAGCAGUGGGGAAUAUUGCACAAUGGGCGCAAGCCUGAUGCAGCGACGCCGCGUGAGGGAUGGAGGCCUUCGGGUUGUGAACCUCUUUCGCUCAUGGUCAAGCCGCAACAAUGGUUGUGGUGAGGGUAGUGGGUAAAGAAGCGCCGGCUAACUACGUG